AGAGUUCUUCGGGGCAGGGUGAAAUUCCCGACCGACGGUGACAUGCUUUUAUUGAAAUCAUGAAGUCCGUGAGCUGCUUAAGUGGCUGACCCAGUGAGAUUCUGGGACCGACAGUAUAGUCUGGAUGGGAGAAGAAAAAU
rnacentral:ncRNA from 2 species